CAUUCUCCCAUUAUCCUUAUCUUCCCAUCUCUCUAUUAUUACUCCUCUCUCGGAACCACCUGAAAGAAAAACUAUUUUCUUUCUCGUGAACCUUCUUCAUCUCUCCUAAAUCCUAAUCGAUCUUCUCAUGAACCUAUAGAUCGGAUGAUCUCUAUCAGAGAUUGAUUCUUGAUAAAUCAAACAACCCUCUUCUAUUUAUAUAUCUGCUUUAUCUGUCUCUUUAAAAAAAGUUGGUGUUCCUGCUGCUACAGUCUACAUCUUCUUCUUCUUGAAAAAAAUUCCUUCACAAGAGACCCAGAUCCCCUUUUCUUCACAAUCAGAAAACCCUAUUUCGGAUUUUUAUUAUCGCAAUCGGAAAUCCCUAACUUUCUCUCUCGAAAAUCAAAAGUUACAAACCUAAUUUUUUCAGUUUCUGUCACCACUAUCAAUCCAUUGUAACAGAAACCAUUAGUGAAGAGUAAAAUAAAUCAUUGUGAAAUUAUCGGUGAUGCUGAGUAUCACUUCUUGUUAAAUCUUUUGUGAAAAUUUUAACCCUAGUUUUCAUUUAACAUCACGAAUAAUUGGGGAUUUUGUUGUUUGCAGAUUUGGGUUUGAUGUUGAAGUUGUCUCUGAAAAGGGCAUCAGCUCCAGCUCCAGCUCAUAUAAGAGUUAAAGAAAGCCCUCUCAGUUCUGAUGCCAUCUUCAGACAGGAUUGUGAGAGAGAUAUUGCAAAGGCCGGAGAUGAUGCUCCAUAUGAGGUUAAGUAUGAAAACAUCAACAAGUUUUCCUGGGAUCUUGUUCACACAAGAUGACCAAAUGAUGCCCAACGAGGAAUAGCUAUGGUCGAAGGGACUGAGCCAACUUGUGAAAGGGAGACUGGACCAACUUCAUAUCAGGGAUAUGCUUUAUAUUCGCUCACUUGAACACUAUAUAAGUCGUGACUUUAUAAAGAGCUUGAACAGCGUGGGUCUUUGUUUGGAGGAUGCACCAGACUUCUGGCAAGUUUGGUACCUGAGGCGAACAAUAUUAAAUCGGACGGAAACAGACGAGUUACUUGGGGCAUUUUUUGUGUGCUGCUAGUGUAGUUGUGCCAGUUAUUAUGAAAGCAAGAUCGCUUCGUAAGGCAUGAUAUGACUCAAAACCAUUCAGUGGCAUCUAAGAAAUGAUACAGUUCAAGACCACUUUAUUUUAUUUAUUUUUCCUGCAUGACAAACUCCCCACUCUAAUCCCCUAGCUCAUCAAUUAAACAUUUGCGAUUAUUUUUCUUUGCCAACUUUGAUCGAAAUUGUUUAAAAGUUUCUCUGAACUAGGAAAUAUUAUUGGAAGUAUAUAUCUGUAAAUUGGAUUGUGAUAACUUAUAUAAUGCAGUGUUAACUAUUCUGGAUGGAAUUUUAAGUUCAUGGAGUUGUUUGUAUAGGACUAGAUUGUUAUUUGGCGUUCAUGUACCAAAAGGAAAUAGCAUUCCAAUGGUAUGCAAGUACUUCUGAGAGCACAAGUGUGGUAUACCAAGUUGGCCAGACUUCAGUAACUUGCCAAUUCCUUGGUACACCCGCAUUAUGAAGUAGGAAUAAGUUCUUCAUCAUCAUCAUCAGAGUUUACAUUUUGCUGUGUACUAGUUUUUCAGUUCAUCGUUUUGCAACCGAAUCCUAGAACUUAAUUACUUUUCUUGUAAGAUUACACUGGUCAGAACUCCAGAUUUUAAUCCUUUGUGUAAUUUGAAACCAAUAAAUCAAUGAAUGUUAAAUCGAA